rnacentral:rRNA from 1 species
ACGACUCUCGGCAACGGAUAUCUCGGCUCUCGCAUCGAUGAAGAACGUAGCGAAAUGCGAUACUUGGUGUGAAUUGCAGAAUCCCGUGAACCAUCGAGUCUUUGAACGCAAGUUGCGCCCCAAGCCUUUAGGCCGAGGGCACGUCUGCCUGGGUGUCA